ACCAGCUAAGGUCCCUAAGUCUUACUUAAGUGGAAAACGAUGUGAAGUUACUUAAACAACCAGGAGGUUGGCUUAGAAGCAGCCAUCCUUUAAAGAAAGCGUAAUAGCUCACUGGUCUAGUGAUUUUGCGCGGAAAAUAUAACGGGGCUAAAGUAAGUACCGAAGCUGUAGACUUAGUUUACUAAGUGGUAGGAGAGCGUUCUAUUUGCGUCGAAGGUAUACCGGUAAGGAGUGCUGGAGCGAAUAGAAGUGAGCAUGCAGGCAUGAGUAGCGAUAAUUAAUGUGAGAAUCAUUAACGCCGUAAACCCAAGGUUUCCUACGCGAUGCUCGUCAUCGUAGGGUUAGUCGGGUCCUAAGUCGAGUCCGAAAGGGGUAGACGAUGGCAAAUUGGUUAAUAUUCCAAUACCAACAUUAGUGUGCGAUGGAAGGACGCUUAGGGCUAAGGGGGCUAGCGGAUGGAAGUGCUAGUCUAAGGUCGUAGGAGGUUAUACAGGCAAAUCCGUAUAACAAUACUCCGAGAACUGAAAGGCUUUUUGAAGUCUUCGGAUGGAUAGAAGAACCCCUGAUGCCGUCGAGCCAAGAAAAGUUUCUAAGUUUAGCUAAUGUUGCCCGUACCGUAAACCGACACAGGUGGGUGGGAUGAGUAUUCUAAGGCGCGUGGAAGAACUCUCUUUAAGGAACUCUGCAAAAUAGCACCGUAUCUUCGGUAUAAGGUGUGGUUAGCUUCGUACUAGGAUUUACUCCGAAAGCGAAGAAACUUACAACAAAGAGUCCCUCCCGACUGUUUACCAAAAACACAGCACUCUGCUAACUCGUAAGAGGAUGUAUAGGGUGUGACGCCUGCCCGGUGCUCGAAGGUUAAUUGAUGGGGUUAGCAUUAGCGAAGCUCUUGAUCGAAGCCCGAGUAAACGGCGGCCGUAACUAUAACGGUCCUAAGGUAGCGAAAUUCCUUGUCGGUUAAAUACCGACCUGCAUGAAUGGCGUAACGAGAUGGGAGCUGUCUCAAAGAGGGAUCCAGUGAAAUUGUAGUGGAGGUGAAAAUUCCUCCUACCCGCGGCAAGACGGAAAGACCCCGUGGACCUUUACUACAGCUUGACACUGCUACUUGGAUAAGAAUGUGCAGGAUAGGUGGGAGGCUUUGAGUAUAUGACGCCAGUUGUAUAUGAGCCAUUGUUGAGAUACCACUCUUUCUUAUUUGGGUAGCUAACCAGCUUGAGUUAUCCUCAAGUGGGACAAUGUCUGGUGGGUAGUUUGACUGGGGCGGUCGCCUCCCAAAUAAUAACGGAGGCUUACAAAGGUUGGCUCAGAACGGUUGGAAAUCGUUCGUAGAGUAUAAAGGUAUAAGCCAGCUUAACUGCAAGACAUACAAGUCAAGCAGAGACGAAAGUCGGUCUUAGUGAUCCGGUGGUUCUGUGUGGAAGGGCCAUCGCUCAAAGGAUAAAAGGUACCCCGGGGAUAACAGGCUGAUCUCCCCCAAGAGCUCACAUCGACGGGGAGGUUUGGCACCUCGAUGUCGGCUCAUCGCAUCCUGGGGCUGGAGCAGGUCCCAAGGGUAUGGCUGUUCGCCAUUUAAAGCGGUACGCGAGCUGGGUUCAGAACGUCGUGAGACAGUUCGGUCCCUAUCUGCCGUGGGCGUAAGAAGAUUGAAGAGAUUUGACCCUAGUACGAGAGGACCGGGUUGAACAAACCACUGGUGUAGCUGUUGUUCUGCCAAGAGCAUCGCAGCGUAGCUAAGUUUGGAAAGGAUAAACGCUGAAAGCAUCUAAGCGUGAAGCCAACUCUAAGAUGAAUCUUCUCUAAGCUCUCUAGAAGACUACUAGUUUGAUAGGCUGGGUGUGUAAUGGAUGAAAGUCCUUUAGCUGACCAGUACUAAUAGAGCGUUUGGCUUAUCUUUAAUAAAGCAU
rnacentral:rRNA from 1 species